UUGGAGAAAGUUUGAUCCUGGCUCAGGAUUGAACGCUGGCGGCAGGCCUAACACAUGCAAGUCGAGCGGUAGAAAGUAGCUUGCUACUUUUGAGAGCGGCGGACGGGUGAGUAACGCGUGGGAAUCUACCUGGUAGUGGGGGACAACUUGGGGAAACUCAAGCUAAUACCGCAUACGCCCUACGGGGGAAAGGAGGGGCUCUUCGGACCUUUCGCUAUCAGAUGAGCCUGCGUAGGAUUAGCUAGUUGGUAGGGUAAAGGCCUACCAAGGCGACGAUCCUUAGCUGGUCUGAGAGGAUGAUCAGCCACACUGGGACUGAGACACGGCCCAGACUCCUACGGGAGGCAGCAGUGGGGAAUAUUGGACAAUGGGGGCAACCCUGAUCCAGCCAUGCCGCGUGUGUGAAGAAGGCCUUCGGGUUGUAAAGCACUUUCAGUGGUGAGGAAGGGUAGCAGUUAAUACCUGUCUACACAU
rnacentral:rRNA from 1 species